rnacentral:rRNA from 1 species
GGGGAGCAAACAGGAUUAGAUACCCUGGUAGUCCACGCCGUAAACGAUGUCGACUUGGAGGUUGUUCCCUUGAGGAGUGGCUUCCGGAGCUAACGCGUUAAGUCGACCGCCUGGGGAGUACGGCCGCAAGGUUAAAACUCAAAUGAAUUGACGGGGGCCCGCACAAGCGGUGGAGCAUGUGGUUUAAUUCGAUGCAACGCGAAGAACCUUACCUACUCUUGACAUCCASAGAAUUUGGCAGAGAUGCMUUAGUGCCUUCGGGAACUGUGAGACAGGUGCUGCAUGGCUGUCGUCAGCUCGUGUUGUGAAAUGUUGGGUUAAGUCCCGCAACGAGCGCAACCCUUAUCCUUUGUUGCCAGCGCGUGAUGGCGGGAACUCAAAGGAGACUGCCGGUGAUAAACCGGAGGAAGGUGGGGAUGACGUCAAGUCAUCAUGGCCCUUACGAGUAGGGCUACACACGUGCUACAAUGGCGCAUACAAAGAGAAGCGACCUCGCGAGAGCAAGCGGACCUCACAAAGUGCGUCGUAGUCCGGAUCGGAGUCUGCAACUCGACUCCGUGAAGUCGGAAUCGCUAGUAAUCGUGGAUCAGAAUGCCACGGUGAAUACGUUCCCGGGCCUUGUACACACCGCCCGUCACACCAUGGGAGUGGGUUGCAAAAGAAGUAGGUAGCUUAA